GAAAUGUGAUAAGUAAUGUGAAUUGCAGAAUUCAGUGAAUCAUCGAAUCUUUGAACGCAACUUGCGCUCCUUGGUAUUCCAUGGGGCAUGCCUGUUCGAGCGUCAUUUGUACCCUCAAGCUCUGCUUGGUGUUGGGUGUUUGUCCCCGUCUCCGCGCGUGGACUCGCCCCAAAGUGAUUGGCAGCCGGCGUACUGGUCCCGGAGCGCAGCACAUGUCGCGCAAACGAGUGCCUUGGUACGGCGGCGUCCAUAAGCCCCUCUCUCACGCUCUUGACCUCGGAUCAGGUAGGGAUACCCGCUGAACUUAAGC
rnacentral:misc_RNA from 1 species